GAUGAACGCUAGCGGGAGGCUUAACACAUGCAAGUCGAGGGGCAUCACGAGGUAGCAAUACUUUGGUGGCGACCGGCGCACGGGUGAGUAACACGUAUGCAACCUACCCUGUACAGGGGGAUAACCCGGAGAAAUUCGGACUAAUAUCCCAUGAUGAUAUUGAGGGGCACCCUUUAAUAUUUAAAGCUCAGGCGGUACGGGAUGGGCAUGCGGAACAUUAGCUAGUUGGCAGGGUAACGGCCUACCAAGGCUACGAUGUUUAGGGGACCUGAGAGGGUUAUCCCCCACACUGGUACUGAGACACGGACCAGACUCCUACGGGAGGCAGCAGUGAGGAAUAUUGGUCAAUGGGCGCAAGCCUGAACCAGCCAUCCCGCGUGAAGGAAGAAGGCGCUAUGCGUUGUAAACUUCUUUUCCAGGGGGUGAAUAAUUCCGAUGUAUCGGGAGAUGACGGUACCCUGGGAAUAAGCAUCGGCUAACUCCGUGCCAGCCGCCGCCGUAA
rnacentral:rRNA from 1 species